rnacentral:lncRNA from 1 species
AUUGCACCUGACCUACCCCUCAAGACAACACUGCUUUUUUUCUUUUCUUUCUUGUAGGCAUUAGCUGUCAUCCAAAGGGUGCUAUAAGAGUGUGUUUUAUCACAUUUCAGCCAGCAAACAUUUGAUGAUGCCAGCCUCCUCCAGGUCUCUGCCUCCUCUCUGUCAGGAAGGAGAGAGAGAAGUUAACCACACAGAACUGACCACCCUCUUUACCCAGAAGGAGCUGAUCAGCCAUCUUUAGGCAGAAGGCUUCCUCCAGCUGCACCCAGAUUCCCCUUCUGUCUCCCACAGCACCCUGGGCUUACUUCUCCAGAUCAUGUAACACCCUGUGCUAAGAUUGUUUAUCUCUUGUCUGACUUCUUGAGUGGAUCAUAAGCUCUUUGAAUGCAGGCAUUGUGUCUUCUCACUCGCAACAUCUCCAGUGUUGAGGACAGAAGUGCCCACAGUGCAUAGGAUAUACUCAAUAAAGGAUUAUCAAAUGUCAUGGAAAUAAGGCCUUAAUUUAAAUUCAGUGGGAAGAGAUUUUCUUGAACUUUAAGAAGACUUGGGGACAAAAUUUGAACUUCUUGUAUGUGUUUCUCCUCAAAGAGCAUAGCUCUGCCUUAAUUCUUCUGAAUCUGACAUCGAGCCUCUGGAGUUUACUAGACUCUUAGGCUGGGAAGCUCUU